rnacentral:rRNA from 1 species
UACGUAGGGGGCGAGCGUUGUCCGGAUUUAUUGGGCGUAAAGAGCUCGUAGGCGGCUUGGCAAGUCGGGUGUGAAACCUCCAGGCUCAACCUGGAGACGCCACUCGAUACUGCCAUGGCUAGAGUCCGGUAGGGGACCACGGAAUUCCUGGUGUAGCGGUGAAAUGCGCAGAUAUCAGGAGGAACACCUGUGGCGAAAGCGGCGCACUGGACCAUAACUGACGCUGAUGCGCGAAAGCUAGGGGAGCAAACAGG